rnacentral:rRNA from 1 species
UGAGUAACCUGCCUUCAGCUUUGGGAUAACCCUCGGAAACGGGGGCUAAUACCGGGUAUUCACUGUCUGCGGCAUCGCGGGUGGUGGAAAGUUUUUCGGCUGGGGAUGGGCUCGCGGCCUAUCAGCUUGUUGGUGGGGUAACGGCCCACCAAGGCGACGACGGGUAGCUGGU